GUCUCACUUUGGCAGACAUAUACCAACAUUGGUAUGAUACAGAUUAACACCCCUGAACAAGGAAGACAUGCAAAUUCAUGAAGUGUUCCAUAUUAGA
rnacentral:snRNA from 1 species